CAUUGCAACCAACAGAUCCUAAAGCCCUCCCGGCCUUUGAGAAUGACUCGUGAGUGGUGUGUUUCAGACAGCUGACAUGGGGGUGGUGGAGAGAGUCUUGAACAGGUGGAGACCUUGUCUAGUGCCCAUCAGUCACACUCUGCAUGAGAUCACCCACUUCUACACUGGACCCUGGAAGGACGAACUGCAGUGAGGCCAAAGUGGAAUGUGAGCCCCAUGAAGGCAUGAAUGAAGGCAUGCGGCUUAUAGUUGGUAUAACAAAAAAAGACCACAAAUUCGGUGGCUUACACAGAAAAACUGUGUUAUCCCCCAGAACUAGAGGCUAGAAUUUUGAAAUCAAGGAAGAAGAUGGACCAUGUGAAGGUAGAAUUGAUGCUGGCAUUCCUUGGUGGAUAUGUGACAAGCAUCUGUUGAAGACCUGGUAGGGCAGGAGGGUGAUGAGGAGGGAGGCUGGGACUGCUGAGCCAUGAAAAGCAGGGACUAUCUGCAGACAGAUUAAGGCAAGGGUGCCCUUCAUGCUCAGCAAAGCAGAGACCAGGCAAGGCUCUGAGAGGCCAUCAAGGCAGUGCAGAGUGCUCUGCAAAGAGAUGUGAAGCCGGAGGGGAUGGCUCGUUCUGAAAGCGUCCAAGAAUCGCACCAAGCUUGGCAGUGGAGAGCUUGACUUUCUCGUGAUCUAGAAGGAUGAGCAACUUGGUUUAAUGUCUUCCCUGGGUCACAGGUGAGCCUGGAAACUAGGAGCUGAGUGCCCUGUGUGCUGUCUUAUGUCAUGUGAUGGUAGAAUUCUGGGCCAUGUGAUCUGCCUGCGUCUGUGCUUUGGUAUGUUACUUUCCUUUCCUUUAACUUCCUUCUCUCUUGGUGAAAGUUACUUUUGUCCUUUCUAACUUUUCCUUGGCUGAUCCAAGGGGAAAGGGAAUUGCUGGUGGUGAGACCAGUUGGGGAGGUUGAAAGCUCCAUGCGGCUGGGGAGCAGCCAGCCCAGUUUGAGAGGACAAGGAGAUGGGAGCAGAUAGACUCGGGAGGGGCCAGACCCAAUGAGUUGGCCGCUGAGCCUUUCCCAUUUGAGGUUUUAAUUCACAAGAUAUAGAACCAGAAAAAAAUGUAAAAGGCUCGUCUGUGGCCUCCUGUUGCUGUAAUAUCACUGGAUGGAGAAGGCAGUUACACACAGUCACCGUGGCACAGACUCAGCAUCCAGGACCUACGAACCUUAAUUCAGUUCAAGGAGCAACUAUCAAUCAUCAGCCAGCAAAGCCUAGACCUGGGAUUCAGAGAUAAGCUAACAACCUAGAAGAGGAGACAUGCAUGUAAAUGAAAGUUCGGCACCACAGGGAGAGUGUCACAUGAGGUACAGAGGUUGCCUCUAUUCAUUUCUUAGGGCCAAGAGCCAGAAACUGGGUGGAACAAUAGGGAAGUAUUGUCUCACCACCUGGAGGCCAGAGGUCUGAAAGCAAGGUACUGGCAGGCUCAUGCCCUCUCUGAUGGCUCUAGAAGAGAAUCAGUCCUUGUUUCUUCUAGAUUUUGGUGUUUGCCAGCAAUCUUGGUGUCCCUUGACUUACAGAUGGAUCAGUUCAGUUCAGUUCAGUCGCUCAGUCGUGUCCAACUCUUUGC
ensembl:lncRNA